ACGUCAUGUCGGGGAUAAUGAAUGAAGAAACUAACAAAAUAUGGCGCACAGUCAAAGAAAAUUGUGAACGAAAAAAGUGUGCAAUCAUAAUAUUGUCCGAGUAACAAAGUGCUUCAACCAGAUAUUGAGACAUUUCCUUUCAAAAAAGCAGGACAAAGCGUUUUUAAAUUGAAUCCGUUAACAAUUGAAUAUUUGAAACAGUACCAUCAGGCA
rnacentral:lncRNA from 1 species